rnacentral:rRNA from 1 species
AAUGAACGCUGGCGGCAGGCCUAACACAUGCAAGUCGAGCGAGCGGCGGACGGGUGAGGAAUGUAUGGGGAUCAGCCCGAUAGAGGGGGAUAACUACUGGAAACGGUGGCUAAUACCGCAUACUAUCGGCUGAAGCCAUGUGGGAUUAGCUAGUAGGUGGGGUAAAGGCUCACCUAGGCGCCGAGCACUAGCGGGUCUGAUAGGAUGAUCGGCCACACUGGAACUGAGACACGGCCCAGACUCCUACGAGAGGCAGCAGUGGGGAAUAUUGCACAAUGGGCGAAAGCCGGAUGCAGCCAUGCCGCGUGUAUGACGAAGGCCUUAGGAUCGUAAAGUCCUUUCAGCUGGGAGGCGUUACCCACAGAAAAAGCACCGGCUAACUCCGCGCCAGCAGCCGCGGUAAUUC